GAGUUUGAUCGUGGCUCAGAUUGAACGCUGGCGGCAUGCCUUACACAUGCAAGUCGAACGGCAGCACGGGAGCUUGCUCCUGGUGGCGAGUGGCGAACGGGUGAGUAAUGCAUCGGAACGUAUCCUGGAGUGGGGGAUAACGUAGCGAAAGUUACGCUAAUACCGCAUAUUCUGUGAGCAGGAAAGCGGGGGACCUUCGGGGCCUCGCGCUCUUGGAGCGGCCGAUGUCGGAUUAGCUAGUUGGUGAGGUAAAGGCUCACCAAGGCGACGAUCCGUAGCAGGUCUGAGAGGAUGAUCUGCCACACUGGAACUGAGACACGGUCCAGACUCCUACGGGAGGCAGCACGUGGGGAAUUUUGGACAAUGGGGGCAACCCUGAUCCAGCCAUGCCGCGUGAGUGAAGAA
rnacentral:rRNA from 1 species